GAUGAACGCUGGCGGCGUGCCUAAUACAUGCAAGUCGAGCGAACAGACGAGGAGCUUGCUCCUCUGACGUUAGCGGCGGACGGGUGAGUAACACGUGGAUAACCUACCUAUAAGACUGGGAUAACUUCGGGAAACCGGAGCUAAUACCGGAUAAUAUAUUGAACCGCAUGGUUCAAUAGUGAAAGACGGUUUUGCUGUCACUUAUAGAUGGAUCCGCGCCGCAUUAACUAGUUGGUAAGGUAACGGCUUACCAAGGCAACGAUGCAUAGCCGACCUGAGAGGGUGUUCAGCCACACUGGAACUGAGACACGGUCCAGACGCCUACGGGAGGCAGCAGUAGGGAAUCUUCCGCAAUGGGCGAAAGCCUGACGAAGCAACGCCGCGUGAGUAAUGAUGGGCUUCGGAUCGUAAAACACUGUUAUUAGGGAAGAACAAAUGUGUAAGUAACUAUGCACGUCUUGACGGUACCUAAUAAGAAGGCCACGGCUAACUACGUG
rnacentral:rRNA from 1 species